rnacentral:rRNA from 1 species
UGGCGAACGGGUGAGUAACACGUGGGCAAUCUGCCCUGCACUCUGGGACAAGCCCUGGAAACGGGGUCUAAUACCGGAUAUGACCUGGGGAUGCAUGUUCCCGGGUGGAAAGCUCCGGCGGUGCAGGAUGAGCCCGCGGCCUAUCAGCUUGUUGGUGGGGUGAUGGCCUACCAAGGCGACGACGGGUAGCCGGCCUGAGAGGGCGACCGGCCACACUGGGACUGAGACACGGCCCAGACUCCUACGGGAGGCAGCAGUGGGGAAUAUUGCACAAUGGGCGAAAGCCUGAUGCAGCGACGCCGCGUGAGGGAUGACGGCCUUCGGGUUGUAAACCUCUUUCAGCAGGGAAGAAGCGCAAGUGACGGUACCUGCAGAAGAAGCACCGGCUAACUACGUGCCAGCAGCCGCGGUAAUACGUAGGGUGCGAGCGUUGUCCGGAAUUAUUGGGCGUAAAGAGCUCGUAGGCGGCUUGUCGCGUCGGAUGUGAAAGCCCGGGGCUUAACUCCGGGUCUGCAUUCGAUACGGGCAGGCUAGAGUUCGGUAGGGGAGAUCGGAAUUCCUGGUGUAGCGGUGAAAUGCGCAGAUAUCAGGAGGAACACCGGUGGCGAAGGCGGAUCUCUGGGCCGAUACUGACGCUGA